UCAGACCUCUAAUCGGAAAAGACCACCCGCUGAGUUUAAGCAUAUCC
rnacentral:rRNA from 1 species